UACGUAGGGGGCAAGCGUUGUCCGGAAUCAUUGGGCGUAAAGAGCGUGUAGGCGGCCAGAAAAGUCCGCUGUGAAAACUCGAGGCUCAACUUCGAGCUGUCGGUGGAAACUUUCUGGCUAGAGUCCGGAAGAGGAGAAUGGAAUUCCUGGUGUAGCGGUGAAAUGCGCAGAUAUCAGGAAGAACACCCGUGGCAAAGGCGGUUCUCUGGGACGGUACUGACGCUGAGACGCGAAAGCGUGGGGAGCGAACAGG
rnacentral:rRNA from 1 species